rnacentral:rRNA from 1 species
AUUACCCACUCCCGGCACGGGGAGGUAGUGACGAAAAAUAACAAUACGGGACUCUUUUGAGACCCCGUAAUUGGAAUGAGUACACUCUAAAUCCUUUAACGAGGAUCUAUUGGAGGGCAAGUCUGGUGCCAGCAGCCGCGGUAAUUCCAGCUCCAAUAGCGUAUAUUAAAGUUGUUGCGGUUAAAAAGCUCGUAGUUGGAUCUCAGUUCCAGACGGGCGGUCCGCCUAACGGUGGUUACUGCCUGGCCUGAACAGCCAGCCGGUUUCCCUAGAUGAUCUUCACCGGUUGUCUUGGGUGACCGGCACGUUUACUUUGAAAAAAUUAGAGUGCUCAAAGCAGGCGUGUAGCCUGAAUAAUGGUGCAUGGAAUAAUGGAAUAGGACUUCGUUUCUAUUUUGUUGGUUUUCGGAACACGAGGUAAUGAUUAAGAGGGACAGACGGGGGCAUUCGUAUUGCGACGCUAGAGGUGAAAUUCUUGGACCGUCGCAAGACGA